GUGAAAAAGUUUUGGCUGAAAAUGCAUAUUUAGUUCCUAUAUGAACCUAGAGAUGGCGCUUUCACUACUUUAUAAAAUGGCUUGAACUUUAUUAUGUUUCAGUGAAUUUCAAACAUUGGUCAUUAAAACAAAUAAUUAAACCAAUUUCUUCUGUAUGAUACUCGCUAUGAAAAGUGGGGAGACUUUAGACAUUCAAUAGUUACGAGGCGUUUAAAAUAAUCUCGAGGAAGAAGGAGGAGAAAGAAAAAGAAGGCGAAAAAGAAGAAGAAGACGACGAUGAUGUUGACGAAGACGAAGAAGAAGGAGAGGAAAACGAAGAAAAAAACCAACAGAUAGAAUCUGCGAAACAUCUGCACUGAUGAGGCCCAACGUAAUAACGAGCCACAGUGUACCAGUAGCGGCGACUAUGAGUCAUCGCAGGCAAAGAUAAAUAUUGUCAUGUUAUGAAGACUUGUGUGUUGGGUGGACAGGUAUUAAGCAAGGCAUAUCAGAGAGAGAAGAGGAAUAAUUGGUGCCAAUGUGCUAGGUCAUGAAGCUGGGAUUGGAGCAUGCUAACUUUUUGGACAGAAGACCCGGGACAGGAGAGGAGCCCAGGACAGGACAGGAGCACCAACUACCAUUUAUUGAGAAGCUGCAAACACUGUCACUCCUGAGUACUAGCACGUGCCAGCCCACUUAUGUACUAGGUUUUCGUCAAGCUGACAGAAGUUGUAAGUGUGUAAAUCAUUGAUGCUAGAACUGUUGUAUAAAUGCACAUUGUUAAAGUCAAGUUGUCUAGCUACCGUGUGUACAUCGUUACUCAAAUGCAAAGUCGUGUUUUUCAUUGAGUUCGGUUUUUAGACUUCAGCUAUUCAGUAAUCGAAAUAGUUUAACAGAUUUUUUAGUGACAAAUUCUGAACAUAUGUUA
rnacentral:lncRNA from 1 species